CCAUUAACUCCUCCUGUAGCUCCGCCUGAGGCUACUGCCGGUCUCAAGCCCGGGUCAAGGAGGAUGGUUGG
rnacentral:ribozyme from 2 species